GGAAACCAAUUCUGCCAAAUUAAUGGCGGGCUGAACCAUUCCGCCAAAUUAAUGGCGCGAUGGACCGAAAUUCCUCCAAAUGAAAAUUAAUCUGUAAAUCCUGUCGUAUGCCUCUCUCUCGUUCCCUCUCCUGCGCUCUCUCUCUCUCUCUCCUGCGUGUGCCAUCACAGCCAUACUCAAUUUCUUCCACAUUUAGAUCAUCUCAGGAGAUACUCUGGGUGUAUACUCCAUAGCUGAGGUCAAAUUUGGGCUUUCUUAAUUAGGAUCAUCAUUCUCUACAGGAUAUCCUGCCCAAGGCAUGGGAAAGAAAAGACGACUUGAAUUUGUGAAAUAGAGCAACAUUCACAGCCUAGUCUCUCACAUGGAUCUCCACAGCGUACUGAAUCACGUGGGGCUUUGCAACCCACCCAGCCACAUGGAUCUUCUCAGACUAUCCAUUUGCCCAGAGCUUCACAGCCUCACCAUUUGUCCGGAACUUCACGGCCUUCCAACCCACAUAGCUCUUCACGCCCCAUCCAGUCCCAUUGCUCUUCGCAGCCUCAUGAGGUAGAGGGAGACUUGGAUGUACAGGCAAAUGAACAGAGAGGUAAUAGGACGGUCUAGCUCAAAGCGUGAUUUCAACCCGUCAUUUUGAAAGCUCUUUCGAGAAGAUGUUACGGAUGCCAUCGUCGACUUUUGAUUAGUUUUCUAUUCCAUGUAGUUUAGGCAAUAUGCGUACUUGUUGGAUUGUGAUAUUUUGGUAGGGUUAUGAACAUUUGAUCUACUUUUGAAUGUUGACAUGUUAUGGAACAUACCUUCUAGCUGUGGUAUUUCCUAUGGAUUGUUUCUCCAAUGAAGAAUGAAUUGUUUUGCUUUUCGA